UACGUAGGGUGCGAGCGUUAAUCGGAAUUACUGGGCGUAAAGCGUGCGCAGGCGGUGAUGUAAGACCGAUGUGAAAUCCCCGGGCUUAACCUGGGAACUGCAUUGGUGACUGCAUUGCUGGAGUAUGGCAGAGGGGGGUGGAAUUCCACGUGUAGCAGUGAAAUGCGUAGAGAUGUGGAGGAACACCGAUGGCGAAGGCGGCUCACUGGCCCGGUACGUGACGCUGAGGUGCGAAAGCGUGGGGAGCAAACAGG
rnacentral:rRNA from 1 species